AAUACCGCUACGCCCAUUCCUCCUUACUAGACCGCCCUCACAGUAACGCCCCUUUGGCUGUUCAAGUUUCUGAAGUCAGUUGCUGCCGAAUGACAACACAAGCGCCGGACUUUUUAAAACGACUGGAAGGAUUUCGCUGCAGCGAUCACUCAACUGUCGGUAAGAUUUCGAUAUUAAAUGCAUGAAUAUACAUAACGGUUACUUUACGAGUUGACUUUCAGUCGGAGGGCGAACAUUUAACCACCUCGGCCCACCAACUAGCGGUGUUGGCUAAUGUUUUUUUUAGCUUCAAGGCAAGCUAACAGGCCGCCCUUCGUAAGUUUGUUUCAGAUGUUGUGUGUGUAUUUGUCAUAAUGUACAGCACUAAGUUAUGGGCAGACAAAACAACUAUUAUUCCUGUGUAAUUACCAUUCUUGUGACUACUUCACUGCAUAUAUUAAGCAGGAAACUGCCUUUGGUUCCCAAAAUAUGAACAUCUGUUGCCCUUCAUACCCCACUACAGGCUUCACUGCCUGGGAAAUCUGUGCUAGUUUACUAUUUCCAACCUGGUAGCUAGCUAGCUAGCCAGCCUGGUCAGAAUGGACAAAGGCAGCACAUCUCAGAAUCUUGUUACGACAAUACGAGGCAAAUGUGAAUGGAGUACAUCGUUAUGUGUAAGAUAAGACGUUAACAUGACAAGGGUGAGAUGAAAGAUACUAAGGGCUAGCCAGACUAGAAUAAAAGUUAACUAGGCCUACCACGAAAAGUUCAUUCAUAAACGUUUUGACGGUCUUUCGAAUGGUUAUCGGAUGGUGUGCUUGCUUGCUUAAAUAUCAUAAAGUUCGCCACAAAGUGAUCACGAAAUGAUCUCCGUAUUAAUAACAGUUUCGUGGUUUGUUACUCGUUUGAAUAAACGUAUAGUUUUGACAUCCCUUUCAAAUGACACGCGGAAGUUUUGAAUAUUUGUUGUACCACGAGCUAUCACGAAAUUAUGCUGGGCCAAAAGGUGUUUAUACAGUAGUUUCUUCCUGUGCUGCGUUGUGCACGUCUGUUUCAUCAUCUGAGCUAUCAGUUGUGUUUCUUUGAAGCAAAGAUGUAUAGAAUAGCACUGAAAGUCGGAGGUGUCAUAUUUGUUCAACCUGGUGUUAAACGUAAUUUCAAUUCUUGACCAGUGCAUGUAAAGAAAUUGAAAAUAAAACCGACUUGACUUGUCAUUGGGUCUGAUUUUAAAUGUGCCAUAUAGUUCAAUGUGGGAGCAGGUUCACACACUAAAUAAGACACUAAGGUCAAGCACAAGCAGAUUAAAAAAAAAAUAAAGAAUUCUCAGAGCAGAUUAGAGCAGACGUUUCAGGUUGCUGCCAUCAGAGAGUAUUGACUUGACCUUAGUGUCUUUAGUGUGCUCCCACAUUGAGCUCUACUUUUUGGGUCCAUGCACCUACUUAUUUCUAAACAUCUAGAGCGCAACAAUACCCCUGCCUCCUGAUAUGCCAUAUAACCUGUAUCUCUCCAAGUGUGUGUGUGUGUGUGUGUGUGUGUGUGAGAGAAUGUGUGCACGCAGAUAUAAGAAGUUGGGGUUGAUGAUCCACAUGAUGGUGAUGGACCAGGACAGCUCUGGACCUCCUGACUGGCAGCUCCAUCCUCAACCUCUCUUCCUGCCCUUCACACAUGUGCAGGCAGCCAGUUUUCUGAAAGAUGGUUGAUGUCAGUACCAACAUGUUGUGAUGGAGGCUUCCACCUGAGCUGAACACAGAAACUUGCACACAGUGUUGGAAGCAGUCGUUCCUGCUCAGCAUCGAUAUGCCAGUAAUGGGUUUGAUGAGCCACAGCAUGGUGAUGGGCAAUCAGCAUCAGGACCAGGGCAGCUCACAAGGAGAACCUCCUGCCCUGCCUCGUCAUCCUCAACCUCCCAUCUCCCUGCUCUUCACACAUGUGCAGGCACGGAGCCAGUUUUCAGAGGGAGGGCUGAUGACACCAGCAACUUUGGUG